GCCUCUGUAGCUCAGUUUGUUAGAGAGCUGCACUGGAAUCGCAGGGCCGCAGGUUCGACUUCUGCCAGAGGAA